UGAUGAUGAUGAUGAUGAUGAUGAUGAUGAUGAUGAUGAUGAUGAUAAUGAUAAUGAUAAUGGUGAUGAUGAAGGUGACGAUAAUCAUCAUCAUCGUCUUCGUUGUCGUCUUCAUCAUCAUUU
rnacentral:pre_miRNA from 1 species